GGCGGUCUUCAGUAGCAGCUUACACAUGCGAGUCGAGCGGAUGAGUGGAGCUUGCUCCAUGAUUCAGCGGCGGACGGGUGAGUAAUGCCUAGGAAUCUGCCUGGUAGUGGGGGACAACGUUUCGAAAGGAACGCUAAUACCGCAUACGUCCUACGGGAGAAAGCAGGGGACCUUCGGGCCUUGCGCUAUCAGAUGAGCCUAGGUCGGAUUAGCUAGUUGGUGAGGUAAAGGCUCACCAAGGCGACGAUCCGUAACUGGUCUGAGAGGAUGAUCAGUCACACUGGAACUGAGACACGGUCCAGACUCCUACGGGAGGCAGCAGUGGGGAAUAUUGGACAAUGGGCGAAAGCCUGAUCCAGCCAUGCCGCGUGUGUGAAGAAGGUCUUCGGAUUGUAAAGCACUUUAAGUUGGGAGGAAGGGCAGUAAGUUAAUACCUUGCUGUUUUGACGUUACCGACAGAAUAAGCACCGGCUAACUUCGUGCCAGCAGCCGCGGUAAUACGAAGGGUGCAAGCGUUAAUCGGAAUUACUGGGCGUAAAGCGCGCGUAGGUGGUUCAGCAAGUUGGAUGUGAAAGCCCCGGGCUCAACCUGGGAACUGCAUCCAAAACUACUGAGCUAGAGUACGGUAGAGGGUGGGUGGAAUUUCCUGUGUAGCGGUGAAAUGCGUAGAUAUAGGAAGGAACACCAGUGGCGAAGGCGACCACCUGGACUGAUACUGACACUGAGGUGCGAAAGCGUGGGGAGCAAACAGGAUUAGAUACCCUGGUAGUCCACGCCGUAAACGAUGUCGACUAGCCGUUGGGAUCCUUGAGAUCUUAUUGGCGAAGCUAACGCGAUAACUCGACCGCCUGGGGAGUACGGCCGCAAGGGUAAAACUCAAAUGAAUUGACGGGGGCCCCCACAAGCCGGUGGAGCAUGUGGUUUUAAUUCCAAAGCAACGCCGAAAAACCCUUACCUGGCCUUUGACAUGCUGGAAAACUUUUCCAAAAAAUGGAUUGGUGGCUUUCGGGAAACUCAGAACCAGGGUGCCUGAUUGGGCUGUCGUCCGCUUCGGGUUGGUGAAAAUGUUGGGUUAAAUUCCCGUAACGAAGCGCCACCCCUCGGUCUUUUAUUUUCCAUGACCGUUUAGUGGUGGGGAACUCCUAGGGGACACUGCGCGGGGAAAAAGCCGGGAAUGGAAGGUGGGGGGAGGGGAGGCUAAGGAAUAUUUUCGGCCCCUUUUUCCGCGGCGGGGGGCCUACUAUACUGGCGCGCGCUACGAAGGUUUCCGUUUCCACGAGGGGGAGCGUGGCCCACAAAUUCACCCGAGGUUUCGGCCCCACACAAACACCCGACGGAGGGUAAUCGGUGCCGGCUAGUGCUCCUGAAUCAGACUGUCGACUGUUAUUACGCACCCAUCAACGGCAUACCCCGCCCGUCACACCAUGGGAGUGGGUUGCUCCAGAAGUAGCUAGUCUAACCGCAAGGGGGACGGUACCACGGAGUGUUCAUGACUGGGGGAGUCGUACUCUACCGGUAGACUACUCC
rnacentral:rRNA from 1 species